GAUGAACGCUGGCGGCGUGCCUAAUACAUGCAAGUCGAGCGAACGGACGAGAAGCUUGCUUCUCUGAUGUUAGCGGCGGACGGGUGAGUAACACGUGGAUAACCUACCUAUAAGACUGGGAUAACUUCGGGAAACCGGAGCUAAUACCGGAUAAUAUUUUGAACCGCAUGGUUCAAAAGUGAAAGACGGUCUUGCUGUCACUUAUAGAUGGAUCCGCGCUGCAUUAGCUAGUUGGUAAGGUAACGGCUUACCAAGGCAACGAUGCAUAGCCGACCUGAGAGGGUGAUCGGCCACACUGGAACUGAGACACGGUCCAGACUCCUACGGGAGGCAGCAGUAGGGAAUCUUCCGCAAUGGGCGAAAGCCUGACGGAGCAACGCCGCGUGAGUGAUGAAGGUCUUCGGAUCGUAAAACUCUGUUAUUAGGGAAGAACAUAUGUGUAAGUAACUGUGCACAUCUUGACGGUACCUAAUCAGAAAGCCACGGCUAACUACGUGCCAGCAGCCGCGGUAAUACGUAGGUGGCAAGCGUUAUCCGGAAUUAUUGGGCGUAAAGCGCGCGUAGGCGGUUUUUUAAGUCUGAUGUGAAAGCCCACGGCUCAACCGUGGAGGGUCAUUGGAAACUGGAAAACUUGAGUGCAGAAGAGGAAAGUGGAAUUCCAUGUGUAGCGGUGAAAUGCGCAGAGAUAUGGAGGAACACCAGUGGCGAAGGCGACUUUCUGGUCUGUAACUGACGCUGAUGUGCGAAAGCGUGGGGAUCAAACAGGAUUAGAUACCCUGGUAGUCCACGCCGUAAACGAUGAGUGCUAAGUGUUAGGGGGUUUCCGCCCCUUAGUGCUGCAGCUAACGCAUUAAGCACUCCGCCUGGGGAGUACGACCGCAAGGUUGAUACUCAAAGGAAUUGACGGGGACCCGCACAAGCGGUGGAGCAUGUGGUUUAAUUCGAAGCAACGCGAAGAACCUUACCAAAUCUUGACAUCCUCUGACCCCUCUAGAGAUAGAGUUUUCCCCUUCGGGGGACAGAGUGACAGGUGGUGCAUGGUUGUCGUCAGCUCGUGUCGUGAGAUGUUGGGUUAAGUCCCGCAACGAGCGCAACCCUUAAGCUUAGUUGCCAUCAUUAAGUUGGGCACUCUAAGUUGACUGCCGGUGACAAACCGGAGGAAGGUGGGGAUGACGUCAAAUCAUCAUGCCCCUUAUGAUUUGGGCUACACACGUGCUACAAUGGACAAUACAAAGGGCAGCGAAACCGCGAGGUCAAGCAAAUCCCAUAAAGUUGUUCUCAGUUCGGAUUGUAGUCUGCAACUCGACUAUAUGAAGCUGGAAUCGCUAGUAAUCGUAGAUCAGCAUGCUACGGUGAAUACGUUCCCGGGUCU
rnacentral:rRNA from 1 species